rnacentral:rRNA from 1 species
AUACGGAGGAGACUAGCGUUGUUCGGAAUUACUGGGCGUAAAGAGUUCGUAGGCGGACUGAUAAGUAAGAGGUGAAAUCCCAGGGCUCAACCCUGGAACUGCCUUUUAAACUGUCAGUCUAGAGACCGGAAGAGGUUAGGGGAAUACCUAGUGUAGAGGUGAAAUUCGUAGAUAUUAGGUGGAACACCAGUGGCGAAGGCGCCUAACUGGUCCGGUAUUGACGCUGAGGAACGAAAGCGUGGGGAGCAAACAGGAUUAGAAACCCUAGUAGUCC